rnacentral:lncRNA from 1 species
UGGAAGAGACCUCAGAAUUGUUGAAAGAUCAAAUACCAAGGCAGUGGCAAAUGAAGGCUCACUUUCUGUAUUCUUCUAUUACAUCUUCCAAUCCAGCUUUGCUAGGAGAGAAAGGGAAGAUGGUGGACAUCUGACAUUUGGUGAAGCUCUUGGUUGUAUAUCACAGAAUGCUAACUGGAAAUGAAUUCCUAUUGGUUUGCUUAUGAGAAUAGUCCAGCAGAUUGAAUUGGAAGAUUAUGGGUCCAGUAAACAAAGAGCUGUGAAUGUUUGGAUCCCUCCAAGCAAGGAGUGCUGGCCUCUCCCAGUUAUUCUGGGUACUGCAAUGAUAAAGGAAAGUAAGGUCACAUCAUCAAAUCUCUGCCAAGGGAAACACAUCUAAUGGCGAGACGGCAUGUCUGAAGCAAAUGGAUAAAAAUCUCAUUUCCAAGCUAUUGGAUCCAAAAUUAUGCAGAUUAAAAUCAAAUCC